rnacentral:rRNA from 1 species
UUUUUUUUUGAAGAAAGAUAAAACCUAUUAAAGAAAAAGUUAUCCUGGGAGCAAAACCUCACUUGCUAGCUUAUAAGGGGAUAAGGAAGAAUAAAAUUGACUAACAUAAGGUAUACCUUAUUCUCCUCUUGUUUUCGUAAGGUGCUGGACGGUUCCCCGACAAUUUUUUUUUUCUUUCGAGAAGGAACUUAAAUGAAAUAAAAAUAAGGAAAAAGCUUGAGGUUGGUUUCAUCUAAGCUUCUGCUCAGUGAAGUUAAUAGGAAAA